UACGAAGGGGGCUAGCGUUGUUCGGAUUUACUGGGCGUAAAGCGCACGUAGGCGGAUCGUUAAGUCGGGGGUGAAAUCCUGGAGCUCAACUCCAGAACUGCCUUCGAUACUGGCGAUCUCGAGUCCGGAAGAGGUGAGUGGAACUCCUAGUGUAGAGGUGGAAUUCGUAGAUAUUAGGAAGAACACCAGUGGCGAAGGCGGCUCACUGGUCAGGUACUGACGCUGAGGUGCGAAAGCGUGGGGAGCAAACAGG
rnacentral:rRNA from 1 species